rnacentral:rRNA from 1 species
GACGAACGCUGGCGGCGUGCUUAACACAUGCAAGUCGAACGAUGAAGCCCAGCUUGCUGGGUGGAUUAGUGGCGAACGGGUGAGUAACACGUGGGCAACCUGCCCCAAACUCUGGGAUAACCCCUCGAAAGAGGAGCUAAUACCGGAUACGCACUGGACAGACAUCUGUACCCGUUGGAAAGUUUUUCGGUUUGGGAUGGGCCCGCGGCCUAUCAGCUUGUUGGUGAGGUAACGGCUCACCAAGGCUACGACGGGUAACCGGCCUGAGAGGGCGACCGGUCACACGGGGACUGAGACACGGCCCAGACUCCUACGGGAGGCAGCAGUGGGGAAUAUUGCGCAAUGGGCGAAAGCCUGACGCAGCGACGCCGCGUGAGGGAUGAAGGUCUUCGGAUCGUAAACCUCUUUCAGUAGGGACGAAGCGAAAGUGACGGUACCUAAAGAAGAUGCACCGGCUAACUACGUGCCAGCCGCCGCCGUAA